AGCGAACGCUGGCGGCAGGCUUAACACAUGCAAGUCGAGCGGGCACUUUCGGGUGUCAGCGGCGGACGGGUGAGUAACGCGUGGGAACGUGCCCUCUGGUUCGGAAUAACUCAGGGAAACUUGAGCUAAUACCGGAUACGCCCUUUUGGGGAAAGGCUUGCUGCCGGAGGAUCGGCCCGCGUCUGAUUAGCUAGUUGGUGAGGUAACGGCUCACCAAGGCGACGAUCAGUAGCUGGUCUGAGAGGAUGAUCAGCCACACUGGGACUGAGACACGGCCCAGACUCCUACGGGAGGCAGCAGUGGGGAAUAUUGGACAAUGGGCGCAAGCCUGAUCCAGCCAUGCCGCGGGAGUGAUGAAGGUCUUAGGGUUGUAAAGCUCUUUUAUCCGGGACGAUAAUGACGGUACCGGAGGAAUAAGCCCCGGCUAACUUCGU
rnacentral:rRNA from 1 species